UCCUAUUCAGUAUGUGGGUAUAAAAGAUUUCCAUUCUUUUGGGUUUUAGGAA
rnacentral:tRNA from 1 species